UCUAAGUCUGUGAAUCUGUUUCUGUUUUGUAAAUAAGUUCAUUUGUAUCAUUUUUUUAUUUGAGAUUCUGCAUAUAAACGAUGUCAUAUGAUAUUUGUCUUUCUCUGAUUUACUCAUUUGAAGAUUCCCACCAAAAGUGGAUGAGUGGGGAGCUGGCUUCAGGAUGAAUGGGGACCACCCAGCCUGGAAGGGAUGCUAGGAUGCCCCCCCAACAUAAGUGUCACUGCUCUGUACUGAGACCCAUUGAGUCUCUGAAGAUCUCUUCUCAACAGUAACCUGUAUGAAAUCAUCAUGUGACUUCACAGGAAAUUUGAUCACAGGCUCAGGUGGAAUAAGUCAUAGUUUCCUCUGGGUGCCCAGCCCUGUUCAUGCUGGCUGUGGCUUCAGAACACUGCCCCUCCAGGAGAAACUGCAAGAGAAAACUGUUCAGGAACAUCUUCAGGUGACCUUUGACAAGACCACUCUUUGAAAUAGUCUGGCCGAAGGAUUUCAAGAGGUCAACAUCUUGUGUUGGGUAUUUUAUAAAAGGGCCCUUCUUUUCUACAUGUGGAGCCCAGCUGGGUGGAGGUAUUUUGCUAGAGAAGCCAGCCCUGAAAUAUCCAUAUAACACAUAAUCAAUUCAAGGCUGGUCCUCGCCUUUCUC
rnacentral:lncRNA from 1 species